rnacentral:tRNA from 1 species
GCAUUCGUGGUAGAAUUGGUAGUAGAAUUCUUGCCUUCCAUGCAGGAGACCUGAGUUCAAGCCCAGCCAAUGCA